rnacentral:rRNA from 1 species
UACGUAGGGGGCAAGCGUUGUCCGGAAUCAUUGGGCGUAAAGAGCGUGUAGGCGGCCUGGUAAGUCCGCUGUGAAAGUCCAGGGGCUCAACCCUGGAAUGCCGGUGGAAACUGUCAGGCUCGAGUCCGGAAGAGGCGAGUGGAAUCCUGGUGUAGCGGUGAAAUGCGCAGAUAUCAGGAGGAACACCGGUGGCGAAGGCGGGUCUCUGGGCAGUAACUGACGCUGAGGAGCGAAAGCGUGGGGAGCAAACAGG